rnacentral:rRNA from 1 species
CGAGCGGGCGAGGUUGCUUCGGUAACUGAGCUAGCGGCGGACGGGUGAGUAAAGCUUAGGAAUCUGCCUAUUAGUGGGGGACAACAUUCCGAAAGGGAUGCUAAUACCGCAUACGUCCUACGGGAGAAAGCAGGGGAUCACUUGUGACCUUGCGCUAAUAGAUGAGCCUAAGUCGGAUUAGCUAGUUGGUGGGGUAAAGGCCUACCAAGGCGACGAUCUGUAGCGGGUCUGAGAGGAUGAUCCGCCACACUGGGACUGAGACACGGCCCAGACUCCUACGGGAGGCAGCAGUGGGGAAUAUUGGACAAUGGGGGGAACCCUGAUCCAGCCAUGCCGCGUGUGUGAAGAAGGCCUUUUGGUUGUAAAGCACUUUAAGCGAGGAGGAGGCUUACCUGGUUAAUACCUGGGAUAAGUGGACGUUACUCGCAGAAUAAGCACCGGCUAACUCUGUGCCAGCAGCCGCGGUAAUACAGAGGGUGCGAGCGUUAAUCGGAUUUACUGGGCGUAAAGCGCGCGUAGGUGGUUAAUUAAGUCAAAUGUGAAAUCCCCGAGCUUAACUUGGGAAUUGCAUUCGAUACUGGUUAGCUAGAGUAUGGGAGAGGAUGGUAGAAUUCCAGGUGUAGCGGUGAAAUGCGUAGAGAUCUGGAGGAAUACCGAUGGCGAAGGCAGCCAUCUGGCCUAAUACUGACACUGAGGUGCGAAAGCAUGGGGAGCAAACAGGAUUAGAUACCCUGGUAGUCCAUGCCGUAAACGAUGUCUACUAGCCGUUGGGGGAUUUGAUCCUUUAGUGGCGCAGCUAACGCGAUAAGUAGACCGCCUGGGGAGUACGGUCGCAAGACUAAAACUCAAAUGAAUUGACGGGGGCCCGCACAAGCGGUGGAGCAUGUGGUUUAAUUCGAUGCAACGCGAAGAACCUUACCUGGCCUUGACAUAGUAGAGACUUUCCAGAGAUGGAUUGGUGCCUUCGGGAAU